CUUCCAUUGCCUCGCUCUUGUCUUUCAGUGGAUGGUUUGAGUGAGAGUUGCUGUCGGAGGGGUGAAGUUUUGGAGGAAGAAGAAGAAGAAGAAGAAAAUGCCAACUGCUUGUUGGAAUUUGCUGUCGCAAACUGCUUUAGGGGCCUUAAUGCCCUCUUCACUCAGUAAAGACGCAUCAAAGGUGUCAACAAGUAGCAGGUGUGGCAUCUCAAAAUGCCAAACUAGGCUCAUUAUUGGAUCUUUCCGAGCUGCAGGGUUCCCUUCACCAAAGAGCCGUGUUAAACACGAAAGGGUGCAACCUACUUCAGCUAUCUCAGAUAUUUUGACAAAUGACAACUCAACCAUGUCAACAGCUGAUGUAGAAACUGAGAAUAUUGGCCUCUUUGGCAUGGAUUCAGCAUUGGAGUCAUAUAAGGAUCACUUUAGAUACAGAAUAAUGAGAUAUGUUGAGCAGAAAAAGCUCAUUGAAACUUAUGAAGGGAGCCUCGAGGAAUUUGCGCAAGGGUAUCUAAAAUUUGGAUUUAAUAGAGAGAAAGGUUAUAUACUUUACCAAGAAUGGGCCCCUGCUGCACAGGAAGCAGAAGUAAUUGGUGAUUUCAAUGGAUGGGAUGGUUCGAACCACAGGAUGGAAAAGAAUCAAUUUGGUGUAUGGAGUAUCAAGAUUCCUGAUUGCAAUGGGAACCCAGCCAUUCCACACAAAUCGAGAGUCAAGUUCAGAUUCAAGCAUGGCAAUGGAGAUUGGAUUGAUCGAAUUCCAGCCUGGAUAAAGUAUGCUACUGUAGACCCGGGAAAAUUUGCUGCACCUUAUGAUGGUGUUUACUGGGAUCCGCCACCGUCAGAAAGGUAUCAAUUUAAAUACCCUCGUCCUCCAAAUCCCAAAUCUACACGAAUAUAUGAAGCACAUGUUGGAAUGAGCAGCUCGGAGCCGCGUAUAAAUUCAUAUCAAGAAUUUGCAGAUGAUGUUUUGCCUCGAAUUCAGGCAAAUGGCUAUAAUACAGUACAGCUAAUGGCCGUAAUGGAGCAUUCAUACUAUGCAUCAUUUGGCUAUCAUGUUACCAAUUUCUUUGCUGCUAGUAGUAGAUCUGGAACACCGGAGGACCUAAAGUAUCUGAUAGAUAAAGCACACAGCUUAGGUUUGCGGGUAUUAAUGGAUGUUGUUCAUAGUCAUACAAGUAACAAUAUCACUGAUGGUCUUAAUGGGUUUGAUGUUGGGCAAAGCUCACAAGAUUCAUACUUCCAUACUGGAGAGCGUGGGUAUCAUAAGUUGUGGGAUAGCAGACUAUUUAACUAUGCCAACUGGGAAGUUCUUCGUUUCCUUCUGUCAAAUCUUAGGUGGUGGAUAGAGGAGUUCAAUUUUGAUGGAUUUCGAUUUGAUGGAGUAACAUCAAUGUUAUAUCACCAUCACGGGAUUAACACGACAUUCACAGGGAACUAUAAUGAGUACUUCAGUGAGGCCACAGAUGUUGAUGCUGUCGUAUAUAUGAUGUUGGCAAACCAUUUGAUUCACAAAAUUCUGCCUGAUGCUACUGUAGUAGCUGAAGAUGUUUCUGGAAUGCCGGGACUUUGUCGGCCUGUCUCUGACGGAGGAAUUGGUUUUGACUACCGCUUAGCAAUGGCAAUCCCUGACAAAUGGAUUGAUUACUUAAAGAACAAAAAAGACGAAGAUUGGUCAAUGAAGGAAAUAACUUGCAGUUUAACUAACAGGAGAUACACUGAAAAGUGCAUAGCAUAUGCAGAGAGCCAUGACCAGGCAAUUGUUGGUGACAAGACAGUUGCCUUUUUCCUUAUGGACAAGGAAAUGUAUUCCAACAUGUCCUGUUUGACUGAAGCUCCUCCAGAAGUUGAGCGAGGAAUUGCCCUUCACAAGAUGAUUCAUUUUAUAACUAUGGCACUAGGAGGAGAAGGCUACCUUAAUUUCAUGGGAAACGAGUUUGGCCAUCCCGAAUGGAUUGACUUUCCAAGAGAAGGCAAUGGUUGGAGUUAUGAGAAAUGCAGACGCCAGUGGGACCUUGUGGAUACAGAUCACUUGAGAUACAAGUUCAUGAAUGCUUUUGACAAAGCUAUGAAUUUGCUUGAUGAGGAGUUCUCUUUCCUUGCUUCAUCCAAACAAAUAGUGAGCAGCAUAAAUGAAGAAGACAAGGUCAUUGUAUUCGAACGUGGAGAUCUGGUAUUUGUCUUUAACUUCCAUCCAGAGAAUAUGUACGAUGGGUACAAAGUCGGGUGUGACUUGCCUGGAAAAUACAGAGUUGCUCUGGAUAGUGAUGCUUGGGAAUUUGGUGGGCACGGAAGGGUGGGGCAUGAUGUGGACCACUUUACAACCCCUGAAGGCGUACCUGGAGUCCCUGAAACAAAUUUCAAUAAUCGCCCAAACUCCUUCAAAGUACUCUCCCCACCUCGGACAGCCUUGGUUUAUUAUAUGGUUGAAGAAACAUUAGAAGAGAACAAUCACAAUAAGUCAACCACCUUCAGUGAGGCCGGUACAGCAACUCUGGUGGAGGAUGAGGAGAAUAUCGAAAAACUCGCUUCUGCUGACAAGUCAGGCAGUUUCAGUGAGAGCAGUACGACUGGUAGGUUGGAGAAUGAAGAGCGAGAAUUUGCCUCUUCUGAAAACAGAGGAGUUGUUUCCAGUGAGGCGGAAGGUCCGAACUAAAAGCAAUCAAAGAUGAGCUUGCUGAUGAUUGAUGGCCUGGUUCGUAACCAGAUUACAUCUGUCAAUCAGACUCAGCAUAUGUAGAAUUGUACAUACAUCUAGACAUGGUGACGAACAUAAUAAACUUCGGAUCCCAACAACGUGUAAAUUUCUCUGGGGAUAUUAAGUAAAUUGAAGAAUGCUUUGUCUGGGAUGGUACUGUUCUUAAAUUGUUAUCGGGCAGGCAAUAUCUAGAUCUUUUUAAUCCAAGCUUCUCCAUAACAAGUUUCUGAUAA